GAUGAAGAACGUAGUGAAAUGCGAUACUUGGUGUGAAUUGCAGAAUCCCGUGAACCAUCGAGUCUUUGAACGCAAGUUGCGCCCGAAGCCAUCAGGUUGAGGGCACGUCUGCCUGGGCGUCACAUAUCGUUGCCCAAUGCCUAUUGCAGUGCAAUAGGAAUUUCUAGGGCGAAUGAUGGCUUCCCGUGAGCGUUGUUGCCUCGCGGUUGGUUGAAAAUCGAGUCCUUGGUAGGGUGUGCCAUGGUAGAUGGUGGUCGAGUUAGAACGAUACCGAUCAUGUGCAUGCUCCCCAAAAUAUGGCCUCUAUGACCCACACGCGUCUUUUGACGCUCAUGACGAGACCUCAGGUCAGGCGGGGCUACCCGCUGAAUUUAAGCAUAUCAAAAGCGGAGGA
rnacentral:misc_RNA from 1 species